UACCAAUUGGAGGGCAAGUCUGGUGCCAGCAGCCGCGGUAAUUCCAGCUCCAAUAGCGUAUAUUAAACUUGUUGCAGUUAAAAAGCUCGUAGUUGUAUUUCAGCCUCGCGUUUUUUCCCUGGUUUUGGGUCUUUUCGCUGGCUUUUUUUUUACUUUGAGAAAAUUAGAGUGUUUCAAGCAGACUUUUGUCUUGAAUACUUCAGCAUGGAAUAAUAGAGUAGGACCUUGGUU
rnacentral:rRNA from 1 species